UGAGAUGUCUUGCAUCUUCUUUCUUCGAAAUCUUAUUGACAAGAUAGUUUGAAGAUGGCUUCUAUGGCUUCUGCUUCGUCUGAGGCAUCAAUGACAGAAACUGCCGGUGAUCAAAAACUCUGUGCUUGGACUCAAACGUAUACAAAGUUGCUAAUUUCACUGAGAAAAGAAAAA